CCUACGGGAGGCAGCAGUGGGGAAUCUUGCGCAAUGGGCGAAAGCCUGACGCAGCAACGCCGCGUGCGGGAAGAAGGCUUUCGGGCUGUAAACCGCUUUCAGCAGGAACGAAAAUGACGGUACCUGCAGAAGAAGGAGCGGCCAACUAUGUGCCAGCAGCCGCGGUGAUACAUAGGCUUCAAGCGUUGUCCGGAUUUAUUGGGCGUAAAGAGUUCGUAGGCGGUCGAGUAAGUCGGGUGUGAAAAUUCUGGGCUCAACCCAGAGACGCCACCCGAUACUGCUUGACUUGAGUUCGAUAGGGGAGUGGGGAAUUCCUAGUGUAGCGGUGAAAUGCGCAGAUAUUAGGAGGAACACCGGUGGCGAAGGCGCCACUCUGGAUCGAUACUGACGCUGAGGAACGAAAGCAUGGGUAGCAAACAGGAUUAGAUACCCUGGUAGUCCAUGCCGUAAACGGUGGGCACUAGGUGUGGGUUUCUAUUAACGAAAUCCGCGCCGUCGCUAACGCAUUAAGUGCCCCGCUGGGGAGUCGGUCGCAAGCUAAAACUCAAAGGAUUGACGGNUGAGAGNGCGAGCGACACGAGGAGAGG
rnacentral:rRNA from 1 species